CUAAGAAUAUUCCGCAAUGGACGAAAGUCUGACGGAGCGACGCCGCGUGGAUGAAGAAGGCCGAAAGGUUGUAAAAUUCUUUUGUCGGGGAAGAAUAACCAUGGGAGGGAAUGCCCGUGGGAUGACAUGAACCGGCGAAUAAGCCCCGGCUAACUACGUGCCAGCAGCCGCGGUAACACGUAGGGGGCGAGCGUUGUUCGGAAUUACUGGGCGUAAAGGGCAUGUAGGCGGUUUUGUAAGACUGGCGUGAAAGGCUGCAGCUUAACUGUAGCAUGGCGCUGGUAACUACAAGACUUGAGUCACGGAGAGGGAGCUAGAAUUCCAGGUGUAGGGGUGAAAUCUGUAGAUAUCUGGAAGAAUACCAGUGGCGAAGGCGAGCUUCUGGCCGAUGACUGACGCUGAGGUGCGAAAGCGUGGGUAGCAAACAG
rnacentral:rRNA from 1 species